rnacentral:rRNA from 1 species
AGCAGCCGCGGUAAUUCCAGCUCCAAUAGCGUAUAUUAAAGUUGUUGCAGUUAAAAAGCUCGUAGUUGAAUUUCGGGGUUAGCAAGUUGGUCGUGCCUUCGGUAUGUACUGGCUUUGCUGAUUCCUCCUUCUUGAAGAACUGUGAUGCUAUUAAUUUGGUGUUGCAGGGAAACAGGACUGUUACUUUGAAAAAAUUAGAGUGUUUAAAGCAGGCUAACGCUUGAAUACAUUAGCAUGGAAUAAUGAAAUAGGACGCUUGAUCCUAUUUUGUUGGUUUCUAGGAUCAAUGUAAUGAUUAAUAGGGAUAGUUGGGGGCAUUAGUAUUCAAUUGUCAGAGGUGAAAUUCUUGGAUUUAUUGAAGACUAACUACUGCGAAAGCAUUUGCCAAGGAUGUUUUCAUUAAUCAAGAACGAAAGUUAGGGGAUCGAAGACGAUCAGAUACCGUCGUAG